UACGUAGGGUGCAAGCGUUACUCGGAUUACUGGGCGUAAAGCGUGCGUAGGCGGUUUGUUAAGUCCGCUGUGAAAGCCCUGGGCUCAACCUGGGAAUUGCAGUGGAUACUGGCAAGCUAGAGUGCGGUAGAGGAUGGUGGAAUUCCCGGUGUAGCGGUGAAAUGCGUAGAGAUCGGGAGGAACGCCCGUGGCGAAAGCGGCUAUCUGGACAGAGUCUGACGCUGAGGCGCGAAAGCUAGGGGAGCAAACAGG
rnacentral:rRNA from 1 species